GAACUUAAGCAUAUCAAUAAGCGGAGGAAAAGAAACCAACAGGGAUUGCCUCAGUAACGGCGAGUGAAGCGGCAACAGCUCAAAUUUGAAAUCUGGCUCUUUCAGGGUCCGAGUUGUAAUUUGUAGAAGAUGCUUUGGGUGUAGCUCCGGUCUAAGUUCCUUGGAACAGGACGUCAUAGAGGGUGAGAAUCCCGUAUGUGACUGGGUGCUUUCGCUCGUGUAAAGCUCUUUCGACGAGUCGAGUUGUUUGGGAAUGCAGCUCAAAAUGGGUGGUAAAUUUCAUCUAAAGCUAAAUAUUGGCCAGAGACCGAUAGCGCACAAGUAGAGUGAUCGAAAGAUGAAAAGCACUUUGGAAAGAGAGUUAAACAGUACGUGAAAUUGUUGAAAGGGAAGCGCUUGCAACCAGACUUGCGCGCUGUUGAUCAUCCGAGCUUUUGCCCGGUGCACUCGGCAGCGUUCAGGCCAGCAUCGGUUUUGGUGGGCGGAUAAAGGCCUUGGGAAUGUAGCUUCUUUCGGGGAGUGUUAUAGCCCUCGGUGCAAUGCGCCCUACCGGGACCGAGGACCGCGCUUCGGCUAGGAUGCUGGCGUAAUGGUUGUAAGCGACCCGUCUUGAAACACGGACCAAGGAGUCUAACAUCUAUGCGAGUGUUUGGGUGUCAAACCCAUACGCGUAAUGAAAGUGAACGGAGGUGAGAACCCUUAAGGGUGCAUCAUCGACCGAUCCUGAUGUCUUCGGAUGGAUUUGAGUAAGAGCAUAGCUGUUGGGACCCGAAA
rnacentral:rRNA from 1 species